rnacentral:rRNA from 1 species
GACGAACGCUGGCGGCGUGCUUAACACAUGCAAGUCGAACGGAAAGACCCUGCUUUUGUGGGGUGCUCGAGUGGCGAACGGGUGAGUAACACGUGAGUAACCUGCCCUUGUAUGUGGGAUAACUUCAGGAAACUGGGGCUAAUACCGGGUAGGAGCUCCUGCUGCGUGGUGGGGAUUGGAAAGUUUCGGCGGUUGGGGCUGGACUCGCGGGUUAUGAGCUUGUUGGUGGGGUAGUGGAUUACCAAGCCUGUGACGGGUAGCCGGCAUGAGAGGGGGACCGGGCACAAUGGGACUGAGAUAGGCACCAGACUGCAAUGGGAGGCAGCAGGCGGGAAUAUUGCACAAUGGGCGGAAGUGUGAUGCAGCAACGCCGCGUGCGGGAUGACGGCCUUCGGGUUGUAAACCGCUUUGGACUGAGAUGAAGCGUGAGUGACGGUAAUGGGUAAAGAAGCACCGGCUAACUACGUG